GGCCGGAUGGUCUAGUCGUAUGAUUGCCGCUUCGGGACGAAAGUCUCCCUGACAAUAAAUGUCGGGAUCGAAAUGUGGCAGGUCCCGGGUUCAAAUCCCGGUUCGGCCC